rnacentral:rRNA from 1 species
GACGAACGCUGGCGGCGUGCUUAACACAUGCAAGUCGAACGGAAAGGCCCUGCUUGCAGGGUACUCGAGUGGCGAACGGGUGAGUAACACGUGGGUGAUCUGCCCUGCACUUCGGGAUAAGCCUGGGAAACUGGGUCUAAUACCCGAUAGGAGCGAUUGUUAGUGUGGUGGUUGGAAAGAUUUUUCGGUGUAGGAUGAGCUUGCGGCCUAUCAGCUUGUUGGUGGGGUAAUGGCCUACCAAGGCGGCGACGGGUAGCCGGCCUGAGAGGGUGGACGGCCACCCUGGGACCUAGAGACGGCCCAGACUCCGAAGGGAGGCAGACGGGGGGAAUAUUGAACCAUGGGCGCAAGGCUGAUGCAGCGACGCCGCGGGGGGGAUGACGGUCUUCGGGUUGUAAAAUCCUUUUGAUAGGGAAGAAGGCUUUUGUGACGGUACCUAGAUAAGAAGCACCGGCUAACUACGUG